CGGGCAAGUUGGGCUCGUGAGCCGUCAUAGGUAAUACACCUAGGAGAGCAAACUCCGAACAAUAAACCCGGGCAGGUGGAGGUCGUUAGCGAAAGCAGUUCACCUAGGAGAGCAAACUCCGAUUACAAACCCGGGCAGGUGGAGGUCGUUAGCGAAAGCAGUUCACCUAGGAGAGCAAACUCCGAUUACAAACCCGGGCAGGUGGAGGUCGUUAGCGAAAGCAAUUCACCUAGGAGAGCAAACUCCGAUUACAAACCCGGGCAGGUGGAGGUCGUUAGCGAAAGCAAUUCACCUAGGAGAGCAAACUCCGAUUACAAACCCGGGCAGGUGGAGGUCGUUAGCGAAAGCAGUUCACCUAGGAGAGCAAACUCCGAUUACAAACCCGGGCAGGUGGAGGUCGUUAGCGAAAGCAGUUCACCUAGGAGAGCAAACUCCGAACAAUAAACCCGGGCAGGUUGGGCUCGUGAGCCGUCAUAGGUAAUACACCUAGGAGAGCAAACUCCGAACAAUAAACCCGGGCAGGUGGAGCUCGUCAGCCGUGGUAGGCAGUCUGCCUAGGAGAGCAAACUCCGAACAAUAAACCGGGGCUUGUGGUGCUCGUUAGAUGUCGUAGACAAUCCACGUGAUGGGAACACCAAAGAAAAGGAAAAUAAAAAGGAACACCAGAAAAAGGAAAGUAUAGUAACAAAACAUCAAGAAAAUAAAAUAAAAA